CUAGCACUUUCACAGGUCCUCCCCCAGGCACUGGGGACAGACCCUGGCAACUGGUGCUAAGAGAAAACCCUUGACUGUAUCUUUGAUGUGGGACUGUACUGGUGGCAGUUGUCACUCAAUGGGACAGAG
ensembl:snoRNA